UUGCUUGCAGCGCUCUUCGGUCAACGUCAGGCAGAUCAGGCCGCGGCCGUGCUUGGCCAUGAAAUUGAUCGCUUCCGGCGUGACGUGCUCGGCUGCCAUUACCA
rnacentral:antisense_RNA from 1 species